UAUAAACUGGCAUUAAUUUUUUUUGGAAAAUUUAUAUAAUUUUUAAAUAUAAUUUAUUAUACUAUUUCUUAGAUAGCUGCAUCACUUGGCUGUGAGCCAUUGUAGUUAAAUAAGCUGCCUAUCUCACCUGUACUCCAACUUGCAGCAACACUGCGGUUUUUGGCGGAAGGUUCCUAUAAACUGUCUGUGGGCAAUGAUUCAAAUAUUUCCUUAGCACGACCUUCAAUCUCGGUGGUUAUAAAAAAAGUGUUAAGGCUUUUGGACGGCUAAUUUGCCCACGUAGGAUAAAGUUAGAAUGAAAAGCAGAUUGCUCGUGAUCAGUUUUUCAACAAGUACGGUUUCCAAGCAUUACUGGUUGUAAAACUCAUUGUUCAUGAUUAACAUCUUUAUUAAAUUUUCGCUGACAAAGAAGUUAGCCUACAAUUCUGUCAACGGUUCUGACACUUAAACCGAUAAAUCAGUUUCUGUAACACAAAAUCCAUACAAAAUCUGUUUGGAAAAUCAAACCAAUAUGAAAUUCAGUAAUCAGAAUGUGUACUCCUUUGCAGAAUUUUUUCGGUUUCAAUUUUGAUUCCGUAAUACCCAUGAAAGUCUACAGUUCCUCAAUUUAUAAUAUAUUUGUGUGUAAAUUUGUAUUUUUUAUUUCAAUACAUGACUAAUAGCUGUCCAAAGCACUAUAAUGUUAUUCCCUUUCUUUCCGUCAAAAAAAAGUGUUAGCAUUUAUAGUUGUGCGGCUCCUUUCUAUAUUAUUAAGGCAAUAGCCUAUUGCUGUAGGGUUAAAAAAAAUAAUAGAUUAUUUUAAGUAUUUACAAAAGAAAAAAAUUAAUCGCACUUUCCUUUGAAUAUAUACUCGGACUCAUCUUAGACUAAUCGUUUUUUUUUUGCAUCUUUAUGUUCAUAUGUGUUUGAUCAAUGUUCUCAAAAUCCAUAAAGCUUAGAGUGACAAGUAAAGUUAAAUUUCGAAAUUUCUCUUACACUUAUAACUCUUCAACCUACAUUUUACAUACUUGCUAUUAUUAAAAACAAUACAAAAUUACAAAAUAUGUAUCAAUACACAUUUAUGUGUGCAUAUAAAUAUUGCUAUUAAUAACUCAAAAAAAAAGUAGAUUUUUAAGGUAAGCGGUUUAAAGUUUUCAAUUGCUUCUUAUUUAGCAAAUAUAGGAAAAGACUAUAACUUUAUUGUAAAACAUUAUAUAAAAUGCUGAGCAUAAGUGGACUAAAUAGAGUGUACGGAAGCUUUUUCUCGGGCAUAUCAAAUAUCAACACCAUAUCAGUGUGACGCAGGAUUCUAUUUUCGCCCACGCGCACGUAGCGCACGUGUACCUAGGUUCCACGAUUUUCAUACAAUUUUCAAUAAAUUGCGUUUGUUCUUAAUGUCACCAAGCGCCCAGUAUGAGGAAAAUAUUUAUUUUAUGUUGUGCUCGUUAAAGUAUUUUGAACAUUCAUAUUGGCAGUUGUUAUAUAUUGAAUAUGAAUAUUUUCAAAAUUACAUAUUGCUUUCCACUGUUUCUUGGUAAUGUUUGUUUUUCAUUUUCCUGGUUGUUAACUUGAUUUUUUUUCUUUCUUCGCUUGGCUAAGCAGUUGAUGUGGAUCCGGAGAAUCUUCUUCGGAAAAUUAAUUACAGAGACGGCUGAUUUCUCCGUCCUUCGUCACUGCUGACGAUAGUAGUAGAACUAGUAUCAUUCGGUGAACCGGGGGCUAUGGAAUCGUGACAGUCUUCCGAUAAUGACGAUGAACGUGUUGAUACAGAUGCGGAAUUAUUUUUACAUAUGUCAUUUUCAGAUAACUCAAAAAAUUCCAAUUGAUAAUAUUAUCAACAACUACGUAUAAUAUUUACCAUACCAAAUACUUUAUUCGGCGAUUAUAAUUUUAUCAAUAGUACCGUCUUAAAAAAAAAACUUCGGAAACAACGACACAUUUGUUGUGGUUAAAAAAUAACGCGACAUAACAAGUGGAAUAACGUCACAUUCUUAUCUCGAUUAUUUAUUUUUCUACGCAACACAAUCCAAUUUUUACACAUUAUAAGCAUUGAAAUUGCGAAUGUAUAAGAAUGCUUGAAAAUGUAAUAGUUUAAAACUUUUGUAAGAUUCAAGUAGAUUUAAACAAUUCGGCAAGCCCGCAUAGCUAAAAAAAAACUUUAGCGUAACAAACAAAUCAAGGUGCUACAAGUGCAAUUAAAACAUAAAGUGAACGCAGCGCUAACAGUGUGCAACCAAAAAAUGUGAUACCUUAAUGUCCAGCAGUUUACUAGAUUUUUUUUGUUUGUACAUACUUCUUUAUUUUUUCCAUGCACAUAGAAAAAAUAAUUUCAUAAAAACUCAACAUUGAUAUGUUAUAAAUGCAUAUUGACAAGCUCGUUUAUAAUAAUAAAUAUAUAUUUGUAUUAUUAAUCUGUUUAUGACAGAACCUUGUUUUUGUAAAGUAUUUUAUCGACAGAUAUACCAAAACAUGCGUGUAUACGAGAGAUGUAUUUAAUAAAUAUGUUAUUAAGAUUUUGGAGCUUAAAAAACAUUAGAAAUAUUAAUUUAAAAUCAAGGCUAACAAUAAUAAUUGCGGGACUCAUUAUUAGUAUAAAUAACACAAUAUUAUUUAAAUAGGUUCAUUAACAUUUCGUUCCUGGAACAAGUAACAACACUAAGCCAACGGAAAGGAAGUACGCUAAAAGAAUUUUUAAAGAGACUCAUCACUCAUCAGUUCUUCAGGACUCUGGCCCUUUAUAUACGAUGGUUAAAAAAUGGGUGCGGCUCUCAGUGACUGUGAUUUUCAGAUGACAUGUGAAAAGUGUAUUUCGCUUGAAGGAAAUAAAACCAUAAUUUCAUUCAUAAGUACUUAUGCAAUGAUCCGUUUUUUCGCUUUGCAAAGUUUACCAAGAAAUAUGAAUAUGAAUACUUCGUAGUCAACCAAAUGCUACCACUCUAUUCUACGCAUACGCACAAAAAAGUUGAAAGUGGGCACGAUUUAAGUUAUUUAUUUAAUAAUUAGCGCAGUAUGCUAAGCAGUGUUAGCAGAGGUCCAGCCUAAUGGUCUUUAAAAGGGUGCUAAAAAAAACUAAACAAAUUUCGCAAAAAAACGUAAACAGAAGGUUUAAAAUCAAUGCCGACAAUUCAAUUAAUUUAAUUGUCUUUUUCGAAGAACGCAACAAAAUGAUAAUUUCCUACAUCCGAAGCAAAGAAAGUUAGCUCGCAAUCGCCUAUCAUAGUUUAUAAAGACAUAACAUUUUUAUACAUAAAUAAAAUAAAUUACAUUCCCAAAAACUUUGUAUUUGCAUAAACAUAAUUAUAAAAAUAUAUAAAUAAUUUAAAAUAUUUCUGUAUCACAAUAUUCUUCGUUGAGUUCUUGAUCUAUAAACUUUCUUAAAGGCUCCGAUGAAAAUGAAAUUUUUAUUAACCUAACAUUGUUUCUGAAAAUAGUUAAAACAAAAUGCCAAAGGUAACUUCAAAUUUUUAUAACUUAACAGCAGUAAUUCUCAAAUUUACCUGGAAUAAAACUAAGUGGCAACACGAGGCAAAUAUGGUGAUUUCCGAAAGAGCUUCCACCAUUUUUCCGUUUUGUAUACCAAAAUAUUAUUAUUACAAUAAAUUAAAGUGCAGCAACUAGUAACAAAAUCAAAUAAAAUUAUACUGUUGAUCUACAUGGACACAUCCGUCGCUUAAAAGUGGUUUUAAGAAGAAAUAGAAUCUUUCAGGUCUCAGGCUAAUCUGAAGUUAAAAAGCGGUGUGGUGCUAACUAUUUAGCAAGGACAUGCUGGAUGAUUUUUUGGUAUAAUCCGAUCUGAAAGUGGCCUGCGUGAUUAGCAAAUAUUUAAAUAGGAGGUUACAUUAUAUAGGCGACGCUGCAAAUAUUUUGUCAUACAAAAAAAAUUUUAAACAAAUAACAAAUAAAUCAUAGACGAAAACAUUGUUUUAAGUGUGUAUACCAUUUUAUCAAAUCUAGUUGUUUUUAAUACUAAAUUGUUGCAAUUAUGUAAAAAGAUCUAAGUAGACUUCUGGCUGGCAAUAUUGUUCUUAGUUACCCGAAUUCUCGAGUGAUGGCAGAAUAGCAACAGCUAAACAUUGACAUAGCGAUUUUAGUUACACUUACUCAUUUUGAGUGGCAAAAUAACAAUAACAAAUGCGCUCAAACAUGCGUAUUAUUUCGUAACUCUUACAGUAAAAAGCUUUUUAAGUGCGUAUACGUGUGUGGUUUCUUCCUUUUUAUUGCUAGCACUAUGGAGAGAACCGAAAAUCAAUGUAGAUGAUUUCUCCUGUUUUUGAUGAAUAUUACCGAUAUAAAUGAAAGAAAAUUAACCCAAUAUACCUGGGCCUUAGCCCCUACCUAAAACUUCGUCAGAGCACUCAACCGUGCUCUUUAAUAUUUGAUCAAGGUGUUUCCUAAACUGCCGUAAGCCAAAAUAAAAAAAUGAUAUUUGUAAAGCCUGAUAUUUGAAAAUGGCUUACGAGAACUAUACAAAAUGUUUAAAGCACUUUCUUAGUAACCACAAAUCCCUGAGUUUUAAGCAAAUUAUUGGGAAUACGAACAGGUAUCUUCAUCAUUACCCUGCAGGGAAAAGCUAACUUGUAUAAAAAAAUUCUAAUUAUAUACUAGUAUUUCGAAGAUGAAAUCAUUUCAGUGUGUGAUUUAUAUAGCGUUGCACCAGUAAUGGUGAAAUAAUAUUUAUCAUCACCGUUUGAUGUAAUAUCGACAUGCCGCGACUGAAUUCCAUUUUUGUUCUGCUCUGUUGAAGUGCCCAAGAUUACGUUAACCGCUACAACGUCACUAUAGCCGACUCCUGGUUCGAGCCCCAAAUAAGUUUUAAAUUGAUUUUUUAUAUUCGGUUGAACUGUGCCGAUUUCGUUUCUUUCUACGUUAUUACGAUAGCUUAGUGGUUAGAGGCUAUCACUGUGGUGCGUGAGGUUGGCGGUUCGAUUCUCGCUUCAGCAAGCACACUUUUGUUGUUAUUUUAUUUUGUUUGUUUGGUGAAGUAGUAUGACAAAUGUCAGCUCGUAGGACAUCGUCGUGUUAAAAAUACCAGCUUCUUACAUGGAAAAUAGAUAGAAGAUGAACUAGUUAGUGCAAAACUGCAUACCAGUUGGAUUCUAGUCAACUAAUAUUUUACCUGCAGGGGAGCGACUACUGUUGGACUCUAAUACGUAAAACAGAUCCCAAGCAAUGCAAAGGACUCAGUUCCUCUCUUCAUUUCUCAUUCGUCAACAUUAAUGUAGUAAAACGAAAAAUUAUAAAAUAUAGUAGAAAAUUAAAUUAUGACUAAUAUUAAGAAUCGGAGAAUUCGAAUUUAGCUUCAUAAAUUAUCAUGGACACCUUUGGUUGCCUAGGUUUGAACCGUGUAUACUUAUGUAAUACAAACAUGCCGUGUAUACUUAGGUAAUACAAACAUGAUGGAAAACAAUGGAAGCGGAUUUCUUAUCCCUUCUGAAACUAGUAACUAGGUUAGUCCUGAUUAAAUAUUCAUGGUUAUAUUAUAUGUUUGCAAAACUUUAACUACGCAUAUUUUAAACGAUAACUGUGGUGAAAAUGCAACUACGAAUUUCAGAAGGAGAGAAAUCGAAACAUGUUCUUGGAAAUAUUGAGCACAAGCAAUCGGUGAGGCAUAAAUAUUAAACAGAAAAGGUGAAGAGGUUGUGUUUUUAUUGAUUUGUAUAGUUAGUUAACUGUGUGUUUAAAGGAGAGAUAGAAAACUGAAUGUUUACAAUAAAGAAGCUGAGCAACAAGUUUUUUAUUUUUAA
rnacentral:lncRNA from 1 species